UUUCGGGUCAUACCACACCCGUGAUAUAAACAUGCUUAUUCUCUUCCUGCACCUUAAACCCUAAUUUUGAUAUCCUAUCAUUCUAGCCAUUUUACUUCGUUUCGCAAAGAAGAUAUCGAUCGUUCAUCCCCACAAACCCCAAUCGCAUCAACAAUCAUCAGGCAUGAGCAUAAUCCGGUGUAAAUCUUUGAUUCUUGCUUCCAAUUUAUGAUUCUCGAGGUAACAUAGUUGGAUUCACACCCAUCUCGCAAAUUCGGAUCGUAUAUAUCAUUUUUCUCAAACGUACAAGCUAACUUCUCUCAAAUCCUAAAUCCCAAGACACCAUUCAUCUUCAAUCGUUCAUCGUCGAUUCAAGUUUGAUAAACAAAGAUUUCAAGAUCAAUUCUACAAGGAAUAAGACAUGUAAAGACACUGCAACAACCGUUACUAAGAAACCCUGAAGGGAGAGAAGCUAUAUUUGUAUAUCAAGAAUACGUGUUGAUACGGAUUAGGCAGGGAGGAUUAGGAGGUGGUGUUGCCUCGGGUUCGGAUCAUGGCCAACCUCAUCAACAUGAACAUAUCAUAACUUUGAGCACAUGAAUGGUGAGGGUGGGGGAUUCUCAAAUCCGCCGUUUAUGGUGGUCUUUUCCCAGCUGACGGUAUCGUUCAAAUUGUUGUGGUGGCUGGAUGUGGGGUAUGGUUGAAUAAGAGAUAGAUAAAAGUAUGUGUGUGUUCUCACCUCUUGACUUUAUUCACAAUCCACACACGUGCUCUUUAAUUUGGGCCGACACGUUAUAUAGUGAUUUGGGAUCAACUUCAUCCUAAUAAAUAAACGUGGAUUUAAGAGUUCGUUAUAGAAAUUAAGUUCAAUCGGCUUUCAACUUAAAUUAUUAGUCAGAUGUCUUUACUAAAUGAGCAGCCUGAAACAAGAUUCGAACACUUGGUAUAGUCACAAGCACAUGAGAUGCUAAGGUGAGUACAUGAAAAAAAAAAUUCUUUUUUGUUUAAAUUUUAUAGUCAUUGAAGCUUAGUAUGAUGAUGCAAGCUUGGUAUGAUAAUGCUGCUGGUGGGUUUCAUAGUCAUUGAAGCUUAGUAUCAUGAUGCAAGCUUGGUAUGAUCAGAAAGGAUGCGAUUAUUAUAUUGAGUAUUAUAUGCAUGCAGCUUCUUUUUGAACUGGCGUAUGCACAUUUGUACGAGAUCAUUGGAUCCGAUAUCAUAAAGUUUGGGUUAACGGCAAUUUACCUAUUUGCCAAUCAAUAUUUCACACAAAUUGGGGGGAAGGUGUCAGUGAAGUUAAUCAAGCGUGAAAAAAACGAGAGCUCUGAAUAUAGGGCUAACAGUUUGAUUUACAAGGUCAGAACCAAACUUCAUAUUCUUUUUAAUUCUCUCUGAUUAACUAUAUUAAUAUAUAGUUAAUAUUAUAUUAAUAUAUAGUUAAUAGUUAACGUUUGUACGGGUUAAAACAGGUCGUAACUUUGUAUGGGUUAAAACGGGUCUGGUUGACUGCUAAACACUUUCCACAUUUUUAAAUAGUUAAAAGUAAUUAAUGCAUUAGUUAUGAUUUCAAAAAUAUGUUACUAUUAACUAUUUCCGCUCAAUCGACGAUAGCGAUGCAGAUGAAGGAUGCUAAUACCCUGUAAGAAGUCAACUAUUUAUUUCUUUAAGAGUGUUUGCGUUUUUAUGUUGAAUUUUGAUGAAGUUGAUGUUUUUUGGUAAGGGCUUUCUUAUUUUAGGGCUUGACCUUAAUGCCAUUCCGCCGAUGCAAUGGUUGUCGUCGUUUGCACACCUGUCAACAAUCAACUCCCUCUGCAUGCUUCCAUUGGUUCUUUGAAUUGUCUGCAUAUCAGGUCUUCUUGAUGUAGAUGAGCUGUCAACUAUGAUUGAAGGAGGUGAAAAGGCUGUAGAAUAUCAAUCAAAGAAUCUAAGAGGAAAUAUACAAAUCAAUGGAUUCAAUUUCCUCGUUUGGAAGUGAUAAUCUAUCACUCCAUUGCCUUGGUGCUUUAUGUUAUUCUAAGAAUCAAAUCAUUUACAAAGUGUUUAUGUUAUAAUGUACUCUAGGGGUUGGAACACAUGUAUAGGCUAAGUAGUUAAUGCGGUAAAAUAUCGGAUAUUGGUCAAGGACCGAUAUUUGAGAUAUCGGUUAUCGCAGUGGGAUAUCGAUAAUUUUAAUAUCAUGCUAAAUUUAUAUAUAUAGCAAUUUACACUAACAAUUGUAAUAAGUAAGAACUGACUAAGACUAAAAACACUAAAAUUUAACAGUAACAACUAACAAUUAAGACUUAAAACACUAAUAGCAGCAAUAAGAAGAAAAAUGAACAGUAGAAAUAAGAAGAAUGGUACUGAUAUCGCGAAAAUCGGUGAUUUAUCUAUCAAAUAUCGGUCCUAUAUCGGGCAAAUAUCGGACAACAUCGCUGAUAUUAUCUGUACCGAUAUUCUGACCAAUAUUUUGUACCGUUAUCUCAACAAGGGACCGAUAACCGAUAUAUCACUGAUAUAUCGAUGAUAUAUCACUGAUAUAUUCAGGAUAUUAACUACAUAGUUUAUAGGUGACAUGGGAUAUGCUCCAAGUAGAUUGGAAAUUAGCCCAGGUCUUUGGAGUUUUUUAGGCAUUUUUUGGUGGCCUUUGACUUAUAACAUUUCAAUUAUUGCAUGGAGUUAGGUCUCUAAAAAUGGAGGGAUAUAAGUCAAAUGUAUGACGAAGGUCAGACGAGUUGUUAUAUGUCUAUACCCCUUGCAUAAGUCUCUUUACCAACAUGGUUUAUUACGCCACGGAUAUCCACAGGUCUCUUUACCAUACCGAAGAUGUUCCUCAAGAGCCUUCAAUUUUAUGUGAGGAGUAGGUUUCUCAUAUUCAAAGACCAAAGACCUUUCAUCAACAGAAUUAAUCUAUUUUUGAAAGGUUGCUUUGAGCUUUACGGAUGACUACUAUCCUGUUUGAAGUGCAUUUUCUCUAUUAAACCAAAUUAGCGCUUGACUGAUUUUUACACUUUGCUUGAAAACAUUCACGAUUUGAAAAAAAGGAAGGCGAUUGAAGUUCCUACAUAUGAUUUCAAGUAUAGCUUUUGCAUGGGCUACAGUUGUCUUUUCGGCUGAUCCGGAUCAAAGAAUUUGGAACAUGCAUUCGCCUGGCAGUUUUUUGGUGGCCAACAUUAAAUAUAUUAUUAUAAAGUUUGGUAGAUCCUCGCCCGAAGUCCCUUUUGUUUGGAAUAGUAUCUCAAAGAAAGUCGGAUUUGUUGUUUGGAUGGAAGAGAAAAAAACUUCUACUGACGAGAAUGGCCUUGGCUGCCAGAAACAUUGAGGAGGUUAAAAAUAUGGGUUUCUUAUCGAUAAAGACGAGGUCUAAAGAGAUGUCUAUGACCUGGAGGGACUUGAGUUCAUUCACAUUGGUGUUAUGGCAAAAGGUGAGUUCGUGGUGCAAAAUGCAGCAAUUAUAUGCUUUCUCCGUGAAGGAUCUAGGAUCUGGUUGAAAUCCACAAAGAUAUGACAGUCGCUGUGCAAAAUAAAAUUAUUUUGGCGAGAUGUUGGGGAAUAUGGAAAGUAAGAAACGAAGCCAUUUUCGGAGGGGAACGGGUCAACAUAGACUAUCUUCAGAGAUGCAAGAGAUGCAGGUUACAACUUUUUUAUGGCUCAAGAGGAGGGCGGACGAAACAGAGUACUUUGGAGUGGAACAAUUGGUUGUGUUUUGAUGUAGAAAAUUAAUCAUAGCAUGCUUUCUUUGUCCUAUUCUGUUUAUUCUGGGUGAAUUUGUAAUGGAUGAUUGGCCAGUAACUUACUAGCCUCACGUAUUGUAUGAUCAAUUUGGUGAUGAAUGACAUGUUAAUUUGCAGUUAAAAGAAAUUGUCGCCUUACCUUUA